rnacentral:lncRNA from 10 species
UGAAGCCGGUCAGGUGGGGAGACAGCACUUCCAUUCUCUUUAAAUGAUAGAAAUGUCUAAUUUCUGAGACUCUCUGUCUUGUGGAGCACUGUCGUCUUCAUGGACACAGGCAGGAUGGCAAACAUGGUCUCGCUCUAUCACCCAGGCUGGAGUACAGGAGUGUAAUCACAGCUCACUGCAGCAUUGACCUUCUGAACUCAAGCUAUCCUCCCACCUCAGCCUCCCAACAUGCUGGGAUUAUAGGCGUAAACCACCAUGCAUAGCCUUUAGGACUGUCUUUUUAACCUGAAAGCUAGAUGGACGCUAACAAA